AGGAUUUUCUUUCUUUCUCUCUGAUUUUUCUCCAUUGUAUGUUCGGCCUAAAGAUGAGUAAAAUUAUGGAGAGCUGGCUACACAUAUGGAUACAUGUUUAAGUCCUGUCAUGCUUUUCCACAGCUUUCUUGAACUACUUACUCGUUUAUCUUCGAGCUCUUGAUUGAUGCGGCGUCGAGAAGUUCAAGAAAGAUGUGGGAAGAUAUGGCGAAUGUCAAGGGCUUUCUUGUUCAUUGCAGUACGCAAUAUUUCUCUUGAAUAAUGUCAGUUCAGCAGGAAAAGAGAAAAUAAAGAGAGGAGGGCAGUUGGCAGCAAACAGGAAGACAGAAUGGCCUCAACUCUACUAACAAGUCAGCAACAGGAGAAAGGGAUACGUGGCACAACAUUAGAGGAAAAGAAGAAAAGAUUAGUUGAAGGAAUGGAGAAAAAGGGAGCAGGUGUGCGUGCAGGGGGCAGGAGAGAAAAAACAGGAACGUUGGGGGGAGAGUGCCAGCCUCUCAGAAGCUGAGCAAGAAGAAUGUUGGCCUGCUGUGUUUUGUGUUUUUUGUGAAUUCUGGGAAGCUAGUCCUACUGUAUUCUGUGCUUGUGCAAAUUCUGGAAAUCGUGUUCCAGUUCUGUAAAUUUUGUGAUUAACAAUUGUAACAGCUGGGAAAUAGUCAUUGUAUUGAUGAAAGAUUGCUGUAAUUAAAUUGAUGAAUCAAUUAAUACAAUACAUAUUUCCUGCUUAAUUUACAGAUGC